rnacentral:rRNA from 1 species
UACGGGGGGAGCAAGCGUUGUUCGGAUUUACUGGGCGUAAAGGGCGCGUAGGCGGCGCAACAAGUCACUUGUGAAAUCUCCGGGCUUAACCCGGAGCGGCCAAGUGAUACUGUCGUGCUAGAGUGCGGAAGGGGCUACUGGAAUUCUCGGUGUAGCGGUGAAAUGCGUAGAUAUUGGGAAGAACACCGGAGGCGAAGGCGGGUUGCUGGGCCGACACUGACGCUGAGGCGCGAAAGCCAGGGGAGCAAACGGG